AUUGAACGCUGGCGGCAGGCCUAACACAUGCAAGUCGAGCGAGCGGCGGACGGGUGAGUAAUGUAUGGGGACUGCCCGAUAGAGGGGGAUAACUACUGGAAACGGUAGCUAAUACCGCAUACUAUCGGAUAACCCAUAUGGGAUUAGCUAGUAGGUGAGGUAAUGGCUCACCUAGGCGACGAUCCCUAGCUGGUCUGAGAGGAUGAUCAGCCACUCUGGGACGGAGACACGGCUCAGACUCCUGCGGAGGCAGCAUUGGGGAAUAUUGCACAAUGGGCUCAAGCCUGAUGCAGCCAUGCCGCGUGUAUGAAGAAGGCCCUAGGGUUGUAAAGUACUUGCAGUCGGGAGGCGUUACCGACAGAAGAAGAACCGGCUAACUCCGUGCCAGCGGCCGCGGUAAUUC
rnacentral:rRNA from 1 species